GGCUACACACGUGCUACAAUGGACAGAACAAAGGGCUGCGAGACCGCAAGGUUUAGCCAAUCCCACAAAUCUGUUCUCAGUUCGGAUCGCAGUCUGCAACUCGACUGCGUGAAGCUGGAAUCGCUAGUAAUCGCGGAUCAGCAUGCCGCGGUGAAUACGUUCCCGGGCCUUGUACACACCGCCCGUCACACCACGAGAGUUUGCAACACCCGAAGUCGGUGAGGUAACCUUUAUGGAGCCAGCCGCCGAAGGUGGGGCAGAUGAUUGGGGUGAAGUCGUAACAAGGUAGCCGUAUCGGAAGGUGCGGCUGGAUCACCUCCUUUCUAAGGA
rnacentral:rRNA from 1 species